AUAAAAAUAAGCUAAUUUUAAGCUUUUUGAUUCAUAAUCAAAAUAUAAGAUUUAUCUUUUUUUAUG
rnacentral:tRNA from 1 species